CCUACGGGAGGCAGCAGUGGGGAAUCUUGCGCAAUGGGCGAAAGCCUGACGCAGCAACGCCGCGUGCGGGAAGAAGGCUUUCGGGCUGUAAACCGCUUUCAGCAGGAACGAAAAUGACGGUACCUGCAGAAGAAGGAGCGGCCAACUAUGUG
rnacentral:rRNA from 1 species